AUGGAUGCAUACUCUACCUCUCUGCUUCUACUAACUUUGAUUCAUCUGCUGCUGCGCUCCUCGGCUCGUGAGUUCCUCUCGCCGGGCUCCUUUCUCUCUGUAGAGGAUAGCUCGGACAGGCUCCAUUCACCCGAUGGUACUUUCAGCUGUGGCUUCAACAACAUUUCUCAAAAUGCCUUUGUCUUCUCUAUUUGGUUCUCUAACACAGCUGAAAAGACUGUCGUCUGGAGCGCAAAUCAUCUCCACCCCGUGUACUCCUGGGGAUCCCAAGUCAUGCUAGAGAGGGAUGGCCGAAUGGUGGUAAAAGAUUAUGAUGGCCAGCCCGUGUGGGAAAAUGGUGUGAACACUUCAUCAAAUGCCGAACAAGCUCAGUUGUUGGACACAGGAAAUCUCAUCGUGAAGGGCCAAGGUGAUAUCAUUCUAUGGCAAAGCUUUGAUUCUCCUACUGAUACAUUGCUACCAAAUCAGAACAUAACUGUUGGUACAAAGUUGGAAUCUAGUAAUAGGCUACUUGUUCCUGGGCACUACAGCUUCCAUUUUGAUGAUGAGCUUUUACUUACACUGUUUGAUGAUCAGAAGGGUGUCUCUUUUAUCUAUUGGCCAAACCCUUUCAUUAAUAUCUGGAGAAAGCAAAGACACUCAUUUAAUACCACCACAAUUGGGGUCCUUGAUAGCUGGGGUUUUUUCCUUGGAAGUGAUAAUUUAACUAUCAAGGCUGCUGAUUGGGGUCUUGAGGUUAUGCGAAGGCUAACAUUGGAUUAUGAUGGCAACCUUAGAUUAUACAGUCUUGAUAAGCCAAAUGGAAGAUGGUCGGUCACAUGGAUGGCAUUUCCGCAGACCUGCUUUGUACGCGGUUUGUGUGGUAUGAAUGGGAUAUGUGUGUAUACACCUAGGCCUGCUUGUGCAUGCGCACCUGGACAUGAGAUCAUUGACCCAAGUGACCGGAGCAAAGGUUGCAUGCCAAAGUUCAACCUCAGUUGUGGUGGGCAUGGGCAGGAGAUGAACUUUUUGAAGCUACCUUCCACGGACUUCCUAGGUUAUGAUCGUAAGAUUGAGUUAGUCUCUCUUCAUGCUUGCAAGCAGAUAUGCUUGAGUGACUGCACAUGCAAAGGUUUCUCAUACUGGCAAGGAGAAGGAAGCUGUUAUCCAAAGUCAUCCCUCGUUGGUGGUGUAGCCAACCCACAAUUACCUGGUUCUAUCUAUCUCAAGCUUCCCAAGACAUUACAAGUCUCAAAGUCCUCGAUUCCUCACUCGCAACCUUCUGGCCCUAGAUAUGGUCCUAACUGUAGUGCAAAGAACAAAUAUGUCACUGCAGAUUUUCUGGAUAAGCGUAAGAGCAGUCAGAGUGGAUCACAGUAUUCGUAUUUCUACGGAUUCUUAUCAGCGAUAUUUUGUGCCGAGGUGAUAUUGGUAGCAUUAGGAUGCUGGUUUAUUUUGAUAAGGGAGCACAGGCAGUUAACAGGAGUAUGGCCGGCUGAGGUAGGCUAUGAAAUGAUAACUAACCAUUUCCGCAGAUACACUUAA
rnacentral:rRNA from 1 species